GGCGGGAGGGGGCGGGAAAUCCUCGGCCUCGGUGGCGGUGGUGGACACGUCGAGCCGGGUAGAAGUGGAGGGGCCGUUCGAAGAGUCGUGAGGGGGUGACGGGUUAAGAUUCGGAGAGAGAGGUGCUAGUGGCUGGACUUGACCUGGAAAGUGCUGGGAUUACAGGCAUGAGCCACCACACCUGUCCCUCUCCCCCUCGUAUUACUCAGACUUAAACUACCCCAAAAAGGCUAAAGUCCUGCUAAGAGUCUCCGUAGAACUGAUGAUUCAAGAGGCUCUUAUGAUCACAGCUGGUGAUUCCCUGUGUUGAAUUAGUGAAAACAGGCCAGGCACAGUAAUCCCAGCACUUUGAGAGGACUGCUUAAUGUCAGGAGCUCAAGCCCAGCUUGGGCAACACAGAUGCCUGUCUCUACAUAAAACAAUAAAAAUUUUUAAAAAAAAUUUUUUUUUAAUGCCCAGAACAAUAGGGCAUGAUUCAAAAUUAUCCUCCGAGCUGCCUCUCUGGUUCUUUCUGGGAAAAACACUUAGGCAAGUUGAGAAAGGAAGGAAAGUUGGAAUAAUGGCAAAACUGUUAGAAGCAUUCCUCUUUCCUCCAUUGCCUGUCCUCCCAACAUUAUACCCAAACUAGUUACAAAGCCAUUCUGUAAAGAGAUCGGGUACCUACAAUUUCUUCAGAUUUACACAAUAUCCACUAGAAUUUAAUUUCUACAAGGGCAGGGAUCUUUGUUGAGUGGCACAUGGUAGACACUCAAUAAAUACUUAUUGAAUAGAUGGGUUAAGUGAAAGUGGCAGGGAUCAACUAGAGUGUCCUGUGCUUAGGGUCUUUUAAUAAAGAUGGAAAGAAUGAUGUU
rnacentral:lncRNA from 1 species